GCAACUCGCCUACAUGAAGCUGGAAUUGCUAGUAAUACACAGGUCAGCAUACUGUGGUGAAUACGUUCCCGGGCCCUGUACACACCGCCCGUCACACCAUGAGAGUUGAGAAUACCCGAAGUCCAUGUCAAAGUGGCCGAAGGUAGGCUUGAUGAUUGGGGUGAAGUCGUAACAAGGUAGC
rnacentral:rRNA from 1 species